UAUAGGCAAGUGAGCCACCUCUCGCAAACAGCAGCACCAGGCUGGACAAAGGAAGCACCAUCAGCUCCCCCUAUCCAAGAAGCUGAAAUCAAGGUUGUCAUCCAGCUCGUGCAGCAAGAAAUCUGGGCUAUAGAAGUCGUACUGGACAAGUAGGAAGAUGGGAAAGAUCAUCGUUUAUGAGCAUGCCAACUUCCAGGGUUAUUCCAAAGAAUUCACCAGAGACAUUGCCAAUUUGAAAGAUGUAGAUUGGAAUGAUUGUAUCUCCUCAGUGAAAGUAAUUGGCCAGCCUUGGGUGGCUUAUGAGCACCUCAAUUAUACAGGCCAGUUACUGGUAUUUGAGGAGGGAGAACAUAGUUUUGUUGGGAAUCAGAUGAAUGAUAAGAUCACUUCUCUGCAGAUGAUCACUGAAAAUCUGCUCAACCCCCAGAUCACACUCUAUGAACAUGUCAAUUACCAAGGGAAGCGCAGGGUGAUAACAGAACCAACCGAUCUAAGCAGGGGACAUGAUAAUGACACCACAUCAUCUCACAAAGUGCAGAGAGGUGUCUGGCUGCUGUGUGAACACAGCGAUGGAGGUGGUUUUCGCUACAUUGCGCGAGAACAUGAGCACCUUCCAAGUUACGUGGCCAUCAAUUUCAAUGACAAGCUUUCAUUCCUGCGUCCCCUUCUCCCCGGCAGGAGCUAUUAGACUGCAAAUCCUGCAGUGCUGAGGGAAGCAGCAGAGCCCAAGCAAGAAAUCCAAGACCUAGAUCUCUGUCUAUGCUUGUAUUGCUUUUUGUAGAGCUUUCCCACACUGUGUCAUGGAAACACUGAAUGGGAAAGCUCUCUUUUCACGCUGCACUGCUGAUCUGUGUUUCUUGACCCUGCCUUGCCCUGCUCUCCUUCCCCAUAAGCCCCAUGAAUGCAAGAGCUAUUGUAUUUUGUCAAAUGAAAGAGACUCAAAGAUAAGAGACAUCCAGGAGUGUGCAACCUAUUGCACCUGCUAUUCUGAUAUCCUGUACUAUGUAAUAUAAAAGCCUUACAUGUUGCUUCUGCUGCUAGAUGCAUAAACAAAAUAUGAGCAUAUAAUCAGCAUCACUUA